CUAUGACGCUGGGUUUUUGAGUAAAGAAAUUAUUUUUAUUACAGGUUGACCAAUAAGGAGACUGGAGUGGAUCUCAAACCUGUCUCCCUAUGCUUACUUUAAGGCAAUAUUCUUAUUAGAAACAGUUUGGGGGGUGGAUUUUGAGAUUAGCAGGUGAUUGAUGAAAGAAAAGGGGAUAUCUGGAAAGUCCUCAGACAUGCAGUUAUCUCUUCAUUGGUCACAUGGGCAAAUUCCAUGGGAGUUAGUAUGAAACAUGCCAUAGAAAUUUGGUCUCUGACACCAGCAAGUUCGUUCUGUGCAGAAUCCAGUCAGCCAUAUUGGGUUUUUAAUGAAUGUAGCCAGCGUUUUAAUCUCACAAGCAUAGAGUGUCAGCAUUUCAGCAAGUUGUAUCUUUUCUUAUCUGUCAUCCUGUGAGGUCAAGAGUUUCUAUCAGUCACUGGUUUCUUUAACUCUUUGGGGUAUGGUUUCAAGUCCACAAUGGCCAGGUGGCCAUCUCAACAUCCAUCUUAAUGGAACCAUUGUCAAUUCACCUGAAAUCAUCAUCCCUCCCUUGGAAACUAGAACCCCUAAGCCAACACUCAACACUGUAGGUAUGAAAAGUAAAUAUCUGUGUGUCAUUAUUAGAUGUAGUAGUGAAGGGAGACACUCCUACUUCCAGUCGUUGAUUCUCAAACUGUAUUUCCUAGUUUUAUGGGAGCAGUUUCAGGAAGCCAUUACAUUGUUCUAUCCCAAAGUGAGCAUCACUGCACUUCUUUUGCUAUGAAAUAGUUACUUGGUUAGAAGCAUUUUUGUGGGUAAAAUAUCAUAAGUGAACACAGCAUUCCAAGCUUACAGUCAGUUGUGAUGACAGAGGCAUUGUGGGUUGGCAGGGAAUAUCCAUAUUCAGAAUACAUAUCUGUUCCAGUGAGGCCAAAUUUUCCCUCCUUCCACUUUGGAAGUGGUGCAAUGAAAUCAGUCCUUCAUGACGUGCUGGCUGGUCUUCCUAGAGAACCGUGUUACAUCAGGGAUUUGCUUUAGCCUCUGCUAUUGGAUGAUUACACAUUUAGAAGUAGCAGUCACCAGAUCAGACUUAGUGAGGAAAAGUCCUUUUGGUGGUUUUAAAAUUUGUUCACAAAUUCUUUUAUAUACUUCCUUUCAAAAGAUGGAGCUGAAUUCCCCUCCUUCAGUGUGCAAUGAACAAAAUGAUUUGACUCUAAUGAAUAGAGUGUGGCAGGAAUGAUGCAUUUGACUUCCAAGCCUAGGUCAUAAAAGGUUGGAUUCUGCUGGUUCUCUGGGGAUGUGGGUGGAGUAAGGAGAGGAAGACAUGUUUUGAGGACACUUAAGCAACCUUUGGAAAGGCCCACAUGGGAAGGAAUUGAAACCUCCUACCAAAAACCAGCACUAAUUUGCUAUUUAUGUGAAGAAGCCACAGUGAAAGAGAGCCUCCAGUGUUGGUCAAAUCUUUAGGUGACUGCAGUUACAUCUCACAAUUUAAAUAUGACUUCGUGAGAGGUCCUGUACCAGAACCACCCGGUGUUCCUUGAAAUGGCAUUCUUGAUUGAGAGCCCACAGGAUUCCUGAAUUUUAAAUCGAAGCUCCUGGUGACUCAGACUUUAAUUGGACACACCUCUUGGCUCAGACUAUUGAUAAUUAGUCCAUUAAACAUUAAGGAACUCUACACCUUCAAGCCUUCAAAAUACUACGGCAGCAAUAGAGAAGGGAAAUCGUCAACAAAGAUUAAUUGCCAGUGUCAUAGCCAAGCUGUGGUUCAACAUCUGAUUCUGCAGAGUAUAUCUUCUGUCUCCGCAUUAAAGGUAGCAGGCAUAAGGGAAAAGAGUCAUGAAAACGACCCAACUUCUGAAAGUCUCAGCAUUUGAGAGGUGUUCACUUUUAGAAGAAGGAGCAGGGUAAAAGGUGAACUCUAAGAAGUAUGCAAGAGUAGUAUGCAGAAACAGCCUUGUCAGGGUGCCGUUUUGAAAGGAAGGCUGCUUAACUCAUUUUGACCGCUGUGCAUAAUAUUCAGGCUUGCAGGCUGAUGGAACCUCUAUCCAGAACAUCACUGAUCUAUAUGGAAGGGCAAGAGUGAAGCCUGUGAAUUCUUACUGGCUUCUUCCAGGAAAUGGCACAGCUCACUUCAGCUUAUGUUUUAUUGAUCAAAGCAAUUCACAUGGUUAGCUACACUCCAAAGAGAUGGAGACUUGCUCUGUCACCAAGCUGGAGUGUAGUGAUGUGAUCUCAGCUCAUUGCAACCUCUGCUACCUGGGUUCAAGUGAUUCCCCUGCUUCAACCUCCUAACUGUCUGAGACUACAGAUCUUAGAAAAUAUGCUUCAGUUCUUCACCUUUGAAUAUGAUGUUACCUGUGAACUUUUCAUAUAUGACCUUUAUUGUGUUGAACUACACAGAUGGACUGAUACAAAUGAGGAAUAAACAAGAUGAGCCUUACUAUUGCCUCAGCUUUCGAUGUGGAGGCAGCCUGAAAGCACACCUCCAGGGGACCAAAUUAAUCCCUUGUAACAUUACUACAAGCCAGAACGAAGUCCACCACUAUGUAAAAGAAUACAGCAACAUCCAACACCCAACUACAAAAAAAUUCAUGCUCUCCAUAAUCCAACAAAAAAUUAUUAGGUCUGCAAAGAAUCAAAAUAUAAUCCAUAAACAGAAAAAAGAAACCAACUGGUAGAAGUGAAUUAUGAUAAAAAAUAAAAUGGGAAAAUUGAAAUAGAACAUAUAAACCCUCAUUUCUUUUAAUUAUUAGAUUUAAUGGACAUUAAAAAUUUACAUUGCUCAAGUUCCCAUAAAAUUUCUAAGGGCUUACUCCCAAGUUUUGUAAUACUUAUGGCUCUGUGAACUGGUAACAAUUCCCACACUGGUCUCUGGACCAUACCGUGUGUAGUCCUAUUUAGGCCAACUUCUUUUUACCCCUAGCAGAUUGACCUGAAUAUGCAGUUAGGGGAAAAAAAAUCAUGUUUGAAUAUUUGUUUAUAUAAGAGUGUUGUAUCCUUAAGUGAAUUUCUAUUCCUCCAGGGAGUCCAGACUAAGUGGCUCCCAUCUCAGUGAUUUCCAGCACCAUUCUAGAUCCCAGGGGAACACAUGAGGUAAAGGCUCGAGGUUUUAGAGUGAAAUGUGUCAGAGAAAUUUUUAUGAGAGGCCUAAUUAGCACAGUCAUUUAGAAAAGUAGAAACACAGGUUUUAAGUAAAAUGCUUCUGAGCCUAAUUAUUUCCUCUUUUAGCAUGGACUUUAGAGGAAACUGCACUAAAUCAUUUUGAAAACAGAUUAUCAGUUCAUGAUGCUGAAAACUAAUUAUUGAGUGAAUUGAAUCUUGUACUUGUUGUAACUGCUAAGCAUGAAGACACGUGAGAACCACCAUAGGGCUCUUCACCAGCCACCUCCUCCACUCAAGCAAAUGUCCAUGGACGCGUUGUUCCAGAAGAGUAUGGCGUGUUUGAUUAAUUAACAGCAGUUUUCCCUUUCAGUCCUCAAGAUCACCACUCAGCCUACCCAGGUUCAAAACUUUUGUGUGUGAUGAAGCUAGGAGGAAAAAGAGAAAAAAGAUGAAAUAAAUGUAAAUAAAAUAGAAAUAUACAAAUGUCAUUGAUUAAUUUUAUUUGUUACUUUCAUUUUGGAACCCAUUGCAACCUACCUAUCAUGUCUUUUGAGUUCUUUUGUUUCUCAUUUAUAAAAAAGAUAUAAUGAUAAUUGUACCUACUACGUAAUGUAUAAUUGAGUUCACAUGUGGAAAUAAAUUGGCACCUGUAGAGUGUUCAAUACAUAUUAA